rnacentral:lncRNA from 1 species
UUUUCCAUUACUAACUUUCAUUGCCUAAUCCUACUAAAGAUGUCUACAUUUCUAUGUGAGAUAGUAAUUUCAAGAAAAAUUAUCUCAAACCAGAAAAUUUCUCAAACUCAAUAAGCGUUAUAUAAUGGUCAAGUGCAGUAAACGAAUUCAAAAACAUUGCUUUCCAAAACUUCAAGAAAUAGAAACGUUUUCGUUUCAAAUUCUCAAAGAACAAAAAAAAACAUUUUCCUCUCAAAAUUUCAAACCAAAAACGUUUUCUUCAUUCCAAAACCAGAAACAAUUUUCGUCCAUGAAUUUCUAAGGAGCAGGGGCAAAUUUCGUUCAAUCAACGAAGGUUUUCCAACGAAAUAUUAUAUGGAGUUUUUCCCACUCCAGGUAUGUUAAGGCCCUCCCUUUUUUCUUUUGGCAUGGUCCAAGUUAUACUGAAGAAACGAGCAAACACAUAGUUUCCAUAAAUUACUCUAUUCAUAGAAAUAAUAGGGGUGUCUAUAUUCUUGAUUCCCCAUGAUAAUUAUUAUUAUCUCCUAUUCAAGGGUCUCAGAAUAAUACACAGUUGAAAAAGUUUAUCCGGAAGGAAUAUUGAGAUUAUUACGUAAUUUUCAUGCAUUUCACUCAUUUAUACAUGUGCAUCGACCCAUGACCCAAUGACGUUAUAUACGUGUAUAUAUGCAAAUAUAUCUAUAUGGGAUAUGAUAAAAAGUUACGGCGUUAUAUACGCACCACCACCUGAUCAGCCGGUAUAUGUUGAUGAUAUUGCUCAUAGUGGACGAGAUGAUAUGAUGGGAUGCCCUUAGUGGCUUGAUGAUAUUAUGUACACCCAUACCUAUACAUGGCACGACAUUUAUAUGCACGUGCAUGAAAUUAUAAACGUUUCAGAUUUUACAAAGUUAUUCAGAUUUAAAGAUGUGUUUCCUUAUUCCAUGUUUUAUCUAUGUCUUUUACGUACUAAUUUUCAUGCCUUACAUAUUCAGUACAUUUUUCGUACUGAUGCCCUAUUUUACGGGGCCUGCAUUUCAUGCCUACAGGUGCAGGUAG